CUGACAGCGGGUUACUUGGGACCUGAAAAGACGUGACACUAAAAGCAUCAGACGACACACUUCACCUAUCUCUCGUACAAAAGAAGAUGUUUAAAAGAAUGUUGAGAACCAUAUCAUGUCUCAUUCAAAGGAAGUUCUUCAGGUCUGAAAAGACAUAUGGUGUCUCAAUUUAUUUCUGAAAAGCCAAAGCACAUACUCUGCUUUUUUAUGAUGGAUGGUGCCGCAGAAGAGGUUCAGCUCCAGGAAGGCACGAGGUGCUGUGAUUAACGAUGCUGCAUGGAGUCCCACAGGAGCCCAGGAGGAUGAUACAGUUGUGUGAAAACAGCUGCUUCUGUGAGGAGAUAGAGGGCUCCGGGCAGGAGGCAUAACCCUCCGAGUCGCACCGCGGACCUGUCAAGAUGGAAACACCAGAAACAUGGGGUGGGCUGCUGUGCUGGAGAAAGGAUGGAGAACAUGUGGAGGCUGAAGGUCAGAGAGGCGAAAUUUGAUCCAAUAUUAGACUAAGAGCAAUUAUAGUGGAAAGAAGCUAAGGGAACACAAAAGUAAAAGUUUAUGCAACAAAAACUCAGUAAUGACUCUUCAACUGAGUCUGCAGUGCACUGGCCUGAUAUAACUACUAUAUCGUCAAGGUGUUUUUGUGCACCCUGUUAUAUUUUCCGAUUAUAUCCAAUCAUCCGUCACACAGACAGGGCAGGUGUUAUUUAUGUCAGAACUGUACGUGCUGCAGAGUUGGGGUGACUUUGAGAAACUUUUUACAAGCUUCUUACUCUUAGAGUUCAAAUGUAAAAGCCAAACAUUUAAUGUUUAUUAAAAAUUUACCUAUUAUUGCUAUUUAUAUGCAUUGUGCAAAAAAAAAAGAAGAAGGAAAUCACAAAGUUUUGAAGAUGAAGCUGCAUGAUAAGUAAAUCUCCUUAAAAGUGAACCAUCAAGAAUUUCCACUGGAUUUGCAUAUGGCCAGCCAAUAUGUUUCAUUGAAUGCACGCAAAAACAUCUAUGUUGACUUACCCUCAAACACUGGAGCAUGUUUUUGUCAAAAUCAUGUCUAGAAUGUUUAUGAAAUGAUUACAUGC
rnacentral:lncRNA from 1 species